rnacentral:rRNA from 1 species
GACGAACCGUGCGAACGUUGUUCGGAAUCACUGGGCUUAAAGAGCGCGUAGGCGGGCAUUCAAGUCCGGGGUGAAAUCCUCCAGCUUAACUGGAGAAGUGCCUCGGAUACUGGGUGCCUCGAGGGGGGUAGGGGCAAGCGGAACUAUGGGUGGAGCGGUGAAAUGCAUUGAUAUCCAUAGGAACUCCGGUGGCGAAGGCGGCUUGCUGGACCCUUUCUGACGCUGAGGCGCGAAAGCCAGGGGAGCGAACGGG